GCCCGGGUGGCUCAGUCGGUUAGGCAUGGGACUUCAGCUCAAGGCGUGAUCUCACGGUUCGUGGGUUCGAGCCCCACAUCGGGCU
rnacentral:tRNA from 1 species